CUUUAGUGGCGAACGGGUGAGUAACGCGUAAGCAAUCUGCCCCUAAGACGAGGAUAACAGUUGGAAACGACUGCUAAGACUGGAUAGGAGACAAGAAGGCAUCUUCUUGUUUUUAAAAGACCUAGCAAUAGGUAUGCUUAGGGAGGAGCUUGCGUCACAUUAGUUAGUUGGUGGGGUAAAGGCCUACCAAGACUAUGAUGUGUAGCCGGGCUGAGAGGUUGAACGGCCACAUUGGGACUGAGACACGGCCCAAACUCCUACGGGAGGCAGCAGUAGGGAAUUUUCGGCAAUGGAGGAAACUCUGACCGAGCAACGCCGCGUGAACGAUGAAGUAUUUCGGUACGUAAAGUUCUUUUAUUAGGGAAGAAUAAAUGAUGGAAAAAUCAUUCUGACGGUACCUAAUGAAUAAGCCCCGGCUAACUAUGUGCCAGCAGCCGCGGUAAUACAUAGGGGGCAAGCGUUAUCCGGAAUUAUUGGGCGUAAAGGGUGCGUAGGCGGUUAAAUAAGUUUAUGGUCUAAGUGCAAUGCUCAACAUUGUGAUGCUAUAAAAACUGUUUAGCUAGAGUAAGAUAGAGGCAAGUGGAAUUCCAUGUGUAGUGGUAAAAUGCGUAAAUAUAUGGAGGAACACCAGUAGCGAAGGCGGCUUGCUGGGUCUUUACUGACGCUGAGGCACGAAAGCGUGGGGAGCAAACAGGAUUAGAUACCCUGGUAGUCCACGCCGUAAACGAUGAGUACUAAACGUUGGGUAAAACCAGUGUUGAAGUUAACACAUUAAGUACUCCGCCUGAGUAGUACGUACGCAAGUAUGAAACUUAAAGGAAUUGACGGGACUCCGCACAAGCGGAGGAUCAUGUUGUUUAAUUCGAAGGUACCCGAAAAACCUCACCAGGUCUUGACAUGCUUCUGCAAAGCUGUAGAAACACAGUGGAGGUUAUCAGUUGCACAGGUGGUGCAUGGUUGUCGUCAGCUCGUGUCGUGAGAUGUUGGGUUAAGUCCCGCAACGAGCGCAACCCUUAUUGUUAGUUACCAGCACGUAAUGGUGGGGACUUUAGCAAGACUGCCAGUGAUAAAUUGGAGGAAGGUGGGGACGACGUCAAAUCAUCAUGCCCCUUAUGACCUGGGCUACAAACGUGAUACAAUGGCUGUUACAAAGGGUAGCUGAAGCGCAAGUUUUUGGCGAAUCUCAAAAAAACAGUCUCAGUUCGGAUUGAAGUCUGCAACUCGACUUCAUGAAGUUGGAAUCGCUAGUAAUCGCGAAUCAGCAUGUCGCGGUGAAUACGUUCUCGGGGUUUGUACACACCGCCCGUCAAACCACGAAAGUUGGUAAUACCCAAAGCCGGUGGCCUAACU
rnacentral:rRNA from 1 species